GGCUGUUCGAGCGGCACCGGGUUCUGCACCGGGCAGUUCUGUACUGCAUGUCCCUGUUAUUCAACCAUCUUGGGGAAAAGCCUUGCCCGCGGCAAAGGCCAAUUUGUGUUCCUCUCAGGGAGGAUAGAGGGGUUUCCUCCUGAGACCGGAGAGGAACAGAUUGUGGAAUUACUAUUGGGCUACAGGAGUACCGGACCUGCAGGCUUCUGGCACAUGAAGAAUCACUGGAGCAUAUGUCGCCAGCAUGAUUCAUUCAUUUACAUUUAUAGAGUGGAAGUGGGCCAGGUAGCACACCGUGGUGACUGUCAACAGCACCUCCAUCUUCACACACUUCACAUACACCCGUCCCACCAUCCGACCAUAUGUCCCGAGAAACACAAUUUCUAAUGGACAAGGACAGCUGUAUCAGCAUACUUAAAGGAGAGAGAGGCCUAACAUGACCUGUCCUGAUCCACAUCCCCAUCUAUUCACAAAGUGGUCCACGAGCCUGCGAUGCAAAGCAAAGCGACAAUGGGAUCAGUCCGCAUUUGCAUUAUGAGCACACAAUGCAUGACACAAGCUUGCCCAGAGAGAUAUUUCUGCUCAGAAAAUAUCUGGCUUCAGAAGGAUGUGUCUGCAGUGCUCAGCAUCACUCCACUGACUAUGUCUCUUGCUUAUUAACAAACCAGCCUGUCACUUUAUAAACCCUGUUUCAGCUUUCCCUCAGCCGCACACACAUACACAUCAUGAAAUACACUUAGACAAUGACAAACACACAAAUUGUCCAGUCAGUUUAAGUGAAACUCUCACCGUGCACAUGUCAUGUUAGUCACACAGAGCAUGUUGAGGUUUUAAUACAGUAAUGCAUACUAGAAAUGUUAUUAAGAAGGUGGGAAUAAUGAUUAAAAAAAAAAUAAAAAAAAUUGGGGGGUUUCCAAAUUCUUUUAUACCCACAAUUAACCAUGAUGCUGCUGUGAUGCUGAAAAAUGUGUCCUAUCUAGUUUGCUUAUAUUUCUUAACAUAAUGUAAUGUAAUGGUAAGAGGACAACUAACG
ensembl:lncRNA